rnacentral:rRNA from 1 species
CUACGGGGGGCUGCAGUUUCGAAUAAUUCACAAUGGGCGCAAGCCUGAUGAUGCGACGUUACGUGAAGGAAGAAAGCUUUAAGUUGUGAACUUCUGGCGUUAAGGAACAAAAAAUUAAGUAGUACUUUUUAUAUUGAGUUAACUUAAAAAGGAAGCAGUGGCUAAUUUCGUGCCAGCAGCCGCGGUAAUACGGGAACUGCAAGCGUUGCUCGGUUUUAUUGGGCGUAAAGAGUACGUAGGCUGUUAUAUAUGUUAAUUGUUAAAUUUUAAAGUUAAUCUUUAAAUUUGCUGUUAAAACUAUAUAACUAGAAGUUCAAAGAGGUAAGUGGAAUUUCAAGUGUAGCGGUGAAAUGCGUAGAUAUUUGAAGGAACACCAAUGGCGAAAGCAACUUACUGGGUGAUAAUUGACGCUAAAGUACGAAAGUAUAGGGAGCAAAAGGGAUUAGAUACCCUGGUAGUC